rnacentral:rRNA from 1 species
CCUACGGGGGGCAGCAGUGAGGAAUAUUGGUCAAUGGGCGGUAGCCUGAACCAGCCAAGUAGCGUGAAGGAUGAAGGUUCUAUGGAUUGUAAACUUCUUUUCUAAAGGAAUAAAGUGAGGCACGUGUGCCUUUUUGUAUGUACUUUAUGAAUAAGGAUCGGCUAACUCCGUGCCAGCAGCCGCGGUAAUACGUAGGGGGCGAGCGUUGUCCGGAAUCACUGGGCGUAAAGGGCGCGUAGGCGGUUUAAUAAGUCAGUGGUGAAAACUGAGGGCUCAACCCUCAGCCUGCCACUGAUACUGUUAGA